UAUGGAUAACAGGUUGAAAUUCCUGUACUAUCCUGUAACAGAACUGUGGGGACACAGGCAGAGAGCGUGAGCCGGGAAUGGAAAGACCGGUACAAGCGAGGUAGGAGAAGAGUUGGCAAAUCCGCUCUUUAAUCUGAAGACGUGAUGUGGACUGAAAAUAAGUAGGGAAGCACGUGAGCUGACUGUCAAGAAAAGCCGCUAUUGUUUGCAGGAUACCCGUACCGUAAACCGACACAGGUGGAUGAGGAGAGAAUCCUAAGGCCGACGGGAGAAGCAUUGUUAAGGAACUCGGCAAAAUGACUCCGUAACUUCGGGAGAAGGAGUGCCAGUAAGAUGGCCGCAGAGAAUUGGCCCAAGCAACUGUUUAGCGAAAACACAGGUCUAUGCAAAACCGAAAGGUGAGGUAUAUGGGCUGACGCCUGCCCGGUGCUGGAAGGUUAAGGGGAGAGGUUAGCGCAAGCGAAGCUUUGAACUUAAGCCCCAGUAAACGGCGGCCGUAACUAUAACGGUCCUAAGGUAGCGAAAUUCCUUGUCGGGUAAGUUCCGACCCGCACGAAAGGCGUAAUGAUUUGGGCACUGUCUCAACAAUGCACCCGGUGAAAUUGAAAUACCAGUGAAGAUGCUGGUUACCUGCGCCAGGACGGAAAGACCCCAUGGAGCUUUACUCCAGCUUGAUACUGGGAUUCGGUAUUGCAUGUACAGGAUAGGUGGGAGGCUAGGAAAUGGUAACGCCAGUUGCCAUGGAGCCAAUGUUGGGAUACCACCCUUGCAGUACUGGGUUUCUAACCAGCAGCCGUGAUCCGGCUGGGGGACAAUGUCAGGUGGGGAGUUUGACUGGGGCGGUCGCCUCCGAAAGGGUAUCGGAGGCGCUCAAAGGUUCCCUCAGAAUGGUUGGAAACCAUUCGAAGAGUGCAAAGGCAGAAGGGAGCUUGACUGCGACACCGACGGGUGGAGCAGGUACGAAAGUAGGACUUAGUGAUCCGGUGGUAUAAAGUGGGAUUGCCAUCGCUCAACGGAUAAAAGCUACCCUGGGAUAACAUGCUUAUCACUCCCAAGAGUUCACAUCGACGGAGUGGUUUGGCACCUCGAUGUCGGCUCAUCGCAUCCUGGGGCUGAAGUAGGUCCCAAGGGUUGGGCUGUUCGCCCAUUAAAGCGGUACGCGAGCUGGGUUCAGAACGUCGUGAGACAGUUCGGUCCCUAUCCGGCGUGGGCGUAAGAUAUUUGAGAGGAGCUGUCCUUAGUACGAGAGGACCGGGAUGGACUGGCCGCUGGUGUAUCUGUUGUCUUACCAAAGGCAUAGCAGAGUAGCCAAGCCGGGAAGGGAUAAACGCUGAAGGCAUCUAAGCGUGAAGCCCCCCUCAAGAUGAGAUAUCUCAUAACGUCAAGUUAGUAAGACCCCUUGAAGACGACGAGGUAGAUAGGGCAGAGGUGGAAGUGUGGUAACACAUGGAGCUGACUGUUACUAAUAGGUCGAGGGCAUAACC
rnacentral:rRNA from 1 species